AUGGGAGUAAAAUGAAUACUUAACUAAGCCCACAACCUUGAUUAGAGUAAUAAGACAGAGCAUGGGGGCUGAUUAAGGAUUCCGAGAAAGAUGCCUUUAGGCAUGGGGAUUUAAGGGGUAUGGGCAGACUGCGACUUGCAGGAAUCAAAGCAGUUGGACUGACCUGGGGUUUGGCUUAUAAAUAAGCUGUUUUAGAACAUAAAAAGGGCUGGACUUUUGAGUCUUCAGAAAAAGAAAGAAAACAUAAAGAAAUUUUCAGAAUAUUGUAACCAAACACUGUCUGAAAGCUGCUUAGGAGUUCAGAUUGGUCGAGCUGUCUUGGCCAAUUGUUGUUGGUUAUUUGCCGAGCUGUUUGUGAUUGUUGAACUGUUAGUGCUGUUACAUUGAAUACUCUGGUUUUUUUGCUGGGUCACCAUUCUGUUUUCUGGGAUUGCUUGAUUGUUGCUCGACCAACUAUUGGGUUUCCCUUGUUGUUGAGACUACUGCUGUUUAUCUGUGAACUAUUGGUGACAUUUGUUGCUGAUUGUUGAUUGCUGCUUACCUGCUGUUGCUGUAUUUGCUGUAUACUGCUCAGCUGAUCAUUCUCCUUCUUCUUUUGCUUUGCUAUACCAGGUACACGAUUAAUAAUAUCAAUGUAACUUGAAAGUUGAGCAUGAAUACAAAAGAGAAGAUCUGAAGAUGUUUUUUUAUACAUAGACUGUUAUAUUGAAUAUCAUGUAAUGUAUAAUAGUUUACAUUUUUGUUUGGAUACUGAAGGUAGCUUGCACGCCUAGUAGAUAUCAAUGUAUGGUGAUUGAAUAUUAGUUUGUAUAUGUAGGCUUGUAGAUAAAAGUAUUCCCAAUGCAGUAGGUUGUAUCUUAGACUUAGUCUAAUUGUGUAGCAUAUUCUUUAAUACAUGCCAAGCAUGAAAACUAUCCAUUACUAGUUAAGUUCUUUCCUUUUUUGAUAAACUGUCUCGUAUAACUGGUAAAUCACAAUUUAGAACAAGGAACACAAAGCUUACAAUCUCAACCUCAUGAAGGUCGAGCCCAAGUCGAAGCAAACUGAGUAGACCUUCAUCGGAAAAACCGUGGCCCAGGCCUGGCCCAUCCUGCAUGAGCUGGGCUUGGGACCAUAAGAUUCGAUCGCUUGCCCGCGGGCGCGACCCUGUUUCUGAUUUUUGUAAAAAGGGUAUUCUGAAUCUUGCCAUAAAUAACUCGCAAGCAUGUAAUUAACUAGGCUAUCUCUGCUUUCAAUCAGUAGAGACGAACGCGACAAGAAACGUAGUUGCUAUAGGAUAUCCCUUUAAAAUAAAAAUGAGACGAGCCUCGCUAAAUAAAUCACACAUCGCCGGGGCCCUCAAUAAAUACAUAACAAUUGACUAGACUCUCGAUUAGGCCGUUUAAUGAACCUUCACGGCCUCUUCCUAAAAUAAUAAUACGUUAGUCUCUUUAGGAUACACUUUAAUAAAUCCUACCUUCUUAAAUCCGGGUGCGCAUUUAUGUGACUCAAAUCCAAAUCUCAACGGAGUCGAAAUGUGUUUCUAAUCACGGGUACAUUGAUUGUGACGUGAUUCGAGAUGCGUGUCCAUGACGUUGCAAAUUCCUUUAAAAAUAAGAAUGAGAUGAGCCUCGCCGAAUAAAAAUACAAAAUUGCGAGGCCCUUAGUAAAUAUUUGCUUUCAAAUUGCUUAGAUUCCGGGAUGGACCGUUUUUUUUGCAAAAUUCCACGGCCCUACCCAAAGUAAAUGAUACGCUAGUCGCUUUAGCCGCGCCUUUAAUAAUUUAAUUUUCUUAAACUCGGGUGCGCAUUUAUGUGACCCAAAUCCAAAUCUCAACAUAGUUGAAAUACGCCAACAACCAUGGGUGCAUUGAUGUGACGUGGUUCGAGAUGUGUUUCCACGAUGUUGCAAUUCUUGAUAAAAAUAACAGUAAGUGAUAAAAGCGGUUAAAAGUUAAAAUUUGCACAUAAGUUCAUACUUGCAUAAAAUCAGAUAACCAAGCCGAAUAUGACAGUUGAGCGACCGUGCUAGAACCACGAAACUCAGGAAUGCCUAACACCUUCUCCCGGGUUAACAGAAUUCCUUAUCCGGAUUUCUAGUACGCAGACUGUAAUAUGGAGUCAUUCUUUUCCUCGAUUCGGGAUUAAAAUUGGUGACUUGGGACACCCUAAAUCUCCCAAGUGGCGACUCUAAAAUAAAUAAACAAAUCCCGUUUCGAUUGUCCUUUAAUUGGAAAAAACUCCCUUGUACCCUCUCGGGUACGUAAAAAGGAGGUGUGACAAAAGCAGCCUUAAGCUUCUGAAAGCUCAACUCACACGCGUCCGACCAUCUGAAUGGGGUACCCUUCUAGGUCAAUCUGGUCAAUGAGGCUGCUAAAGAUGAAAACCCAUCCACGAACCGACAAUAAUAACCCGCCAAACCUAGGAAACUCCAGAUUUCUGUAGUUGACGUAAGUCUAGGUCAGUUCUGAACUGCCUCAAUCUUCUUAGGAUCCACCUUGAUGCCCUCAGCGAUACAAUGUGCCGCAAAAAGGCGACCGAGUCUAACCAAAACUCACACUUUGAAAACUUGGAAUAUAACUUGCCAUCUCUCAGAGUCUGAAGUGUUAUCCGAAGAUGCUACUCCUGCUCCUCUCGACUGCGAGAAUAGAUCAGGAUAUCAUUAAUGAAUACAGUCACAAAGGAAUCCAAAUAGGGCUUGAACACCCGGUUCAUCAAAUUCAUAAAUAUUGUUAGGAUAUUUGUCAACCCAAAUGACAUCACUAGGAACUCAUAAUGCCCAUACGGAGUCCAAAAAGUUGUCUUAGGAACAUCGAAUGCCCUAAUCUUUAAUUGAUGGUAGCUAGACCCCAAAUCAAUCUUUGAAAACACUUUGGCACCCUGAAGCUGAUCAAAUAAGUCAUCACUCCUUGGCAACAGAUACCUGUUCUUGACGGUGACUUUGUUCAACUGCCGAUAAUUUAUGCACAUCCUCAUCGAUCCAUCUUUCUUCUUCACGAACAAUACAGGCGCACCCUAGAGCGAGACACUAGGUCUAGUGAAGCCUUUAUCAAGCAAGUCUUGCAACUGCUCCUUCAAUUCUUUCAACUUUGGCGGGGCCAUAGGGUAUGGCAGAAUAGAAACGGGCUGAGUGCCCGGAGCCAAGUCAAUACUGGUAUUCUCGACAGAUUUGUAAGAAAUACCCCUGGAAACUCGCGAACAACGGGUAUAGAAUCCAUGGAAGAAACCUCCGCACUAGAAUCGCGAACAUAAGCCAAAUAGGCUAGACACCCCUUCUCGACCAUAGGUCGAGCCUUCACAUAAGAGAUAACCCUGCUGGUAGAAUGGCCAAGAGUCCCCCUCUACUCUAGUCGAGGAAACCCCGGCAAGGCUAAGGUCACCAUCUUGGUGUGAUAAUCCAAUAUAGCAUGAUAAGGUGACAACCAAUCCAUACCCAAGAUGACAUCAAAAUCUAUCAUAUCAAGAAGUAGGUGAUCUAGCUAGUCUCAAGACUCCCAAUUGUAACCACACACGAGCGAUAGACGUGAUAUACAAUAAUAGAAUCUUCACAGAUGUGGACACAUACAGAAGAGCACUCAAGGAAUCACGAGGCACUACCAUAUAUGAAGCAAAAUAGGAUGACACAUAGGAAUAAGUAGAUCUCGAAUCAUAUAAAACUAAAGCAUCUCUAUGGAAAACUGGAACAAUACCUGUGAUAAUAGCGUCAGAUGACUUAACCUCAAGCCUAGUUGGGAAAGCAUAAAAUCAGGGCUGACCCCUACCUCUCUGAACUACGUCUCUGGGACGACAUCUAGUUGGCUGGCCUCCACCUCUAACGGCCUCACCCCACUCUAGCUACCUAACCCUUGCCUCUAGCUAGCUAAGUGGGCUGUGGAGCAACCGAUCUUGGAAUCAUGGCACGAGAACUGUGCUAUGGCAUGUCGCCCAAUAAUCUCGGACAAGACCUCCUAAUAUGCCCAAUAACACCACACUCAAAACACACAUCCUUCUGCUGUGGCUGCUGAAGUUGAAUUUGACCCAAACGAGCCGGAUAACCAUGGUGAUAACUCUGAAUCAGAGGAGUAUUGAUAGGAGCUGAUGGUGCACUGUAGGCUGGCUGCCCAGAAUAAGGCACAUAAGGACCACGACUCCCUGAAGCAAUGUGAGAUGCCUGAAGUGCUGAAUGAAAUGGCUUGGGAGGAUGGCCUCUACUGAAAGUAACCCUGCCUCCAGAUGAGGCACCACUGAAACCACCAGAAUGACGAGGCCUCUUAUUCGACACCUGCCCCCUCUCCUGAGUACAAACCAUCUCGAUCUGCCUAGCAAUGUUUGUAGCCGUCUGGAAGGAAAUAUCACUCCCGGUCUCCUAGGCAUCUGUAGCCUGAUAGUAUAAGUGAUUAUGUCAAUAAAUCUCCUUACUCUCUCCCUCUCAGUAGGAAGCAAGAUAAUGGCAUGACGAGCUAGGUCCAUAAAACGGGUCUCAAACUGCCUGUGGUACUCUUCUCUCAGGGUGACAAGGAGGAACUUUUCUAGAAAUAGCUGUGAGAACUGAUCCCAAGUAACUGCAAGUUACCCAGCUGGUCUGGUCAACAUACAAUCUCUCCACCACCUUUUGGCGGAACCCGUCAUCUAAUACAAAACAAAAAUUUAACACAUUGAUCUCAACUAUACCCAUGUUCCACAGCACCUCAUGAUAGUAGUCAAGAUAAUCAUGUGGUUCCUUAGAAGGUGCACCACUGAAGUGAAUUGGGAAGAGCUUGGUAAACUUGUCCAAUCUCAAUAAAGUCUCAGAAGACACGGCGGGUCUGUCACCGACCUAUGCCGCAAUAACUAGUUGAACUACCCCAACUGGCGAAGUUGUUGGAGUCUGAUACUGGGAGACAUCUGCUCCGUAGUGUGAGUAGAGGGAGUUUGUGCUCCUCCCCCAGCCUGAGAGACGGCUGGUGCCACUGGGAAUGUACUGUCCUAGGCCACACUCUCUAUAAGGCCCACUAAAUGGACUAGAGCAUUCUAAAGCACUGGAGUGGCGAUGAACCCCUCCGGGACCUGAGCUUGUCAAACAGGUACAGUCUAAGCUGGAACCUCCUCAUCAAAAUCUACUUGAGGCUCCAUUGUUGGUGCUACUACUCGAGCUCUAGGCUGAGCUCUACCUCUGCAUCGGUCUCUAGUGCGACCUCGGCCUCGACCUCUGCCCCUAGAAAGAGAUGCCACUAGGGGAUCUAGCUGCUGUCCAGCUGUAGAUGCAGUACGUGUUCUCACCAUUUGUAAGAGAAAAAGAAUAGAAGAGUUCAAUCGUCAAUGAUAGAAUAAAAUCACAUGACAGAGAAGAAUAAAUGUGAAAUUGUUCUUAAACUCCAUAGAAUCUAGAAUAUAAUUAGAGACAUCUCUGUACCGAUCCUCCAAACUCUACUAAGCCUACUCAUGACUCGUGAGACCUAGGCAGCCUAGUGCAUUGAUAUCAACUCGUCACGACUCGGAAUUCCAACCUUCGGGAUCGUGAUGGGGCGUAAUAUUUCGCUCGCUAGGCAAGCCAACGUUAGAGUAAAUCUUAUGCCGUUUUAAAAAAUUCAAGUAAUUAAAACCAAUUAAACUGAAAUAAAAUUGGAAUACUAUGUGAAAAGGUAUAACAACCAAAAUAUCUAAGUACAAUCCCGUAGUUGGAGUCAUAAGUGUCACACCUAUUUUUUACCUACGCCCCCGUAAGGGGUAGUAAAAGAGUUUUUUCCAAUUUAAAGUGACAAUCAAAACGGGAUCAUUUUUUAUUGAAAUUUAGAGUCUCCACUUGGGAUAAUUAUUGGUGUCCCAAGUCACCGGUUCAAAUCCCGAAUCGAGAAAAAGAUUGACUCUGUAUCUGCGAACACAGAAACCCGGGUAAGGAAUUCUGUUAACCCGAGAGAAGGUGUUAGGCAUUCUCGAGUUCCGUGGUUCUAGCACGGUCGCUCAACUGCUAUUAUUGGCCUAUUAUCUGAUUUAAUACACUUUUAAACCUAUGUGCAUUUUAACUUUAAACCGUUUUUAAUUAAUUUUAGGAAGAUUCAACGUUUUUUAAAAUACGCCUUGAACCACGCCACAUGAAAUGCACCCGCGGUCCACGACAUAUUUUAUUUAACGUUGUUGAGAAUUGGAGUUGGGUCAUAUAAAAUCCACACCCGAAUUUAGGAAGGUAAUUUUAAAUUACGCGCCUAAAGCAACUACGCAUUUUCAACUUUGCAAGGGCCAUGGAAGUUCAACUAAAUGGCGUGCCUCGAUUUCGAAGGAUUCAAGUAUUAAUUAAAUGAGGGCCAUGCAUUUUGAGAUUUUUAUUCAGCACGGUACACCUCGAUUCCAUUUUUUAAAGGAAACUUGAACUAAAUUUCGGAGGGCCAUAAACUAUGUAUUGCCUAAUAUAGCACGCCUCCGAUCUGCUCAACUAAACGAAUUAAAGAUAUUCAUAUUUAAAGCUGUACUUUUACUUUCAACACCUUCCAAGAAAUAUAAUACAUUGCAGAACUUUUGACUAGGAUCGAUUGCAGAAGCGAUUUAUUAGAACCAAGAAUCCUCCUUAUAUGUGUAUGUAUACAAUAUUGAUUAUAGCAUGAAAUAGACAAGGUAACGUAUAACAAUUACAACAAGAUAUAAAAAAACUAUUUGUAAACUUGUCGUAUGAGAAGCAGAUUCAAACUUUCAAAAUGAACCAAAUACACUGCUGAAACCGACCCCAUUUGAUUAACAAAUUGUUCCAUUUAGAAAUGCAGAGAAUGCAAAUUGUUUCAUUUUAACAACUUUAAUCUGAAUAUUCAAAACUUUGAGAAUACAAAUUCAUUCAAACCAUAAACACUAAGAUAGAACACCACAAUUAUUGAAUUAAUUAAAUAAAGGUGGUAGAAAUGGACCUCAAUGUCUCAGAACCUCUAGAUGCGUUACAUGGCCGGAAAACAGAGUCUCAAAUGGAAACCAUUGGCAACGGCAAACAUGAACCUUGACUCAGCCAUGUCUCAAUCAAAUCCAUAUUUGAACACCGAAAUUCUGAAAUUGAAACUAACGGCGCAUAACAUUUUUCUAUAAAAUAGAAGCCCAAUUAACACAAAAACAUAAGCAACCUUUUUUAGUAUUUUUUUUAUUCUCAAUGAAAAUGGAAGAAUAGAAGAAGAAGAUUAAAGAGUUCUGAAACACCAAAUCCUCAUUGUCUUUUUCAAAAAAUGUGAUUAUCUUUUCCCCCCUCUACGUGUGUGUGUACGCCUGAAUCUACUUUUUGUUCAAGGGAGGGAGAUGGGGAUUAAACUAGGCUCUGUUUUUUGUCGAGCUGCUGGAGGAAGAAGAUGAAGAGAGCAGCAUCUAGUGUUCAAGGUUUUGGCGAGUUUUGGUUAGCGGGAAGAAGCAGAAACAACGAUGGUCAUGGAGAUGGAGUUUGGGUGCUAGGUUUUUUAUUGAAGGAGAAGUUGAUCAAUGAUGGGGGGUGGUCUGAUUCUUUUUGUUCUUGUGGCUGUUUCUUGGUUGAAGCUCAAGCCAUGGAAAACUUGUUGUUCUUCAAUGAAGAAGAAGACAACCGAGCAGUGGGGGGGGUCUCUAUGGUGUUAUGCGGCUGAAGGAUCUCUUUUUGUGUAUAGGCGUUCCCUCUCUGUAUAUUUUCGUGUGUGUAUAUUAUAUAGAAAGUGAAGGGAAAGGUCCCCCUACCCAAAACGUGAAUGAGAG
rnacentral:lncRNA from 1 species